rfam:Myotis brandtii contig215967, whole genome shotgun sequence.
GACAGUCCUCAGGUGACGCACCCGGGAAUCGGAAUUGGGAUCCCUCCUCUCUGGUUCCAGGUGCGUCACCCAAGAACCGCA